CGCAGCUGUUGUUUUAAAAAAGGCAGCCCAGGCACCCAGACGGAACAAUACAGGCACCCUUAACAUGUCAUUCCUGUUGAAAGCCAAGGAAGCCCACGCGCAUACCCAGACCAGAGCGCCUGCCGAGUUGCCAGUGCUGCCUGCUUCAAGGAGGACGGGGGCGUUUUCAGACGUACGCGCUGUCCCCUAUGUUUGUUCAGGACUUGUGUAGGAAUUCGAUAUUCAUUUAUCCAGCGAUGUUUGAGGGAGGGUAAUGCAGAAACAGAGCGAGUGAGCCCGUUUCAACAUUAACUGGAAGAAGUCCCACAGAAAUGAACCGACUUUCGGGCAAAUGUGAAGCACCCAAUUAAGUGGUCUGGAAUGGCUGCAGGCAAAGAGGCGGAUUUAAACAAAAACAAACAAAAACAUGUUAUAUUCACACUGGAUGCGAUGAGAUUCAUUUGAUGGUAAAAAUGCAGCAGGUGACUCAUCUGAGUCACUCUGCUUAAUGGUGCUAAAUGUUUUCAGUCAGACGUUGAGUUCAGCUGGACAUUCGUGGG
rnacentral:lncRNA from 1 species